GGAGGCCUUUUCCCACAUUAAAAUGAGUCGAGAAGCAUGCAUACAUUUAGAGGGAAAAAUAAAUCAGCACGCUGCAUGGAAAUGUAGAGAGAAGUUUUAUUUGUGUCAAAAGAAAAGACUCUUUCGCAUUAAGAAAACAAACAAUGUGUGAAUGGCAUGUAUUUCUUCUAAACCUGUAGUUGAAAGGGAAAACAAGGAGUCUCAAUCGAGAUCUUCAAGUUGAGGCCCUCCAAACCAUAUCUCGACUUGACUUUGUGAUUGUGGAGAAUUAGUGCUAAGAAUGGAGUGAAUUCCUUGUAUCUAAUGAUUGCUGAAUAUUUCCUAUAUUCAAUGCAAUGGGUAUCAACUCUUUUCCUACCAGCCUUUUUGUACACUAAUUUUGUUUGUUUAUUUUGGAAUGACUAAGAGGAACAUGGUACAAUUGAAUGCUCAGCUAGUGUCGAUCUUUCUCUAAACUGAACUUGUAUUACUUUUAUAAUUUUACUAGAUGGCUAAAAUUCCAUUACUUAAUUGUACAACUAUAUUUAUUUUAGGUGAUGAUGAGCAUGAACUGAUAUGCUUGUUGUUGAUAUUGAAUACGAUGAAUGUAGACACUUGUUAAAUUUCAUAGCCCAA